UUCUUUUCUUCUCUUGUUCCUUUCCCAGAAGAGUAAGAUCUCUUUCUAGUCUGCAAUUGCAACUCAUCAGUUUUGUUACUAUUGUUUCAAUUUUCUCUUUCAUCUUUGUCUAUUAUUUCUCUUUUCAAAACUUCUCCCAUUUUUCCUCUUCUGUAAACACAAAAGCUUGCUUUCUCUCUCUGUCUCUCUACUGUUCUCCCAUGGCGACUACGGCUUUCAGAGGGGCAAAUGCUUCUUCUGGCAUGGGCGUUGCUGACCACAGCAAAGCCACAUACCUAGAACUGCAGAGAAAGAAGGUGCACCGUUAUGUGGUCUUUAAGAUUGAUGAGAAGAAAAAAGAGGUUGUGGUUGAGAAGACUGGAGGGCCAGCUGAGAGCUAUGAUGAUUUUACUGCUUCCUUGCCUGAGAAUGAUUGUCGAUAUGCUGUCUAUGACUUUGAUUUUGUGACUUCUGAGAAUUGCCAGAAGAGCAAGAUCUUCUUCAUUGCAUGGUCUCCUUCUGUGUCUCGCAUUCGUGCAAAAAUGCUUUAUGCAACGUCCAAAGACAGGUUCCGAAGAGAGCUGGAAGGCAUACAUUAUGAAAUCCAGGCAACUGACCCAACUGAGAUGGAUCUUGAGGUGCUCAAAGACCGUGCAAACUGAGCACUCAUUUGGAUCAGAAGUGUUUCAGAUCUUGAGGAGAAGCGUGUGCAGCCUAGAGGAAAUUCCUUCAAUCAGUUGUUGAUUACGUCUUAUAUUUCACUGGCACUAAGUACAUAUAAUUAAUUGUAUAAAUAAUUUCCACCUAAGAAGACUGAUCAGGAGCUUAUGACCAUGGGCAAAUUUGAGCUCCUUGUUGCCAUGAUGCUUCUCAGGUGAUGUUGGAUGUGGUUAUUGCCACCUGAGAAGGCUGAUCGGGAGUUCUUGACCAUGGGAAAAUUUGAGCUCCUUAUUGCGAUGAUGCUUCUCAGAAGAUUAGGAGAAUGAAAAGUUAAAUAUGUGUUAUACAAGCUAGUGAUGUGCCUUGUCAAAACAAACAGGGCUUUGCUUCUCAAGUUGGGUAAGUGCUGGAUUAUUUUUGUCGGUUUGUUUUGAAAGUGACAUCAUUUGCAGCGGUUAGGAUAGUGUAUGCGUUUCUGCCGACCUAUAGGAAAAUACAGGAUUCUCUGAUAAAAAUAGUUUGUUGGCUGCAAAUCUAGUACACUGAGCUUGCUAGUCCAACGUAACUGCUAUUCUUCGACCCAUUCAAAGAACCGAUGAGCUGAAGCCUGAAGUUGUAGAUAGCAGGCUGAAGACGUUUGGCCUUGUUCAAUUUCUGUACAGACUUGUCUAUAUGUAUAUUUUCGACCGGAGUUCAUAUUACUAGAGUAAAUGAAGCAAGCAUCUGGCCUCUUGUAUUCUCAUUCCAUUCUCAAUCAGCUCUUCGUAAGUGUUGCACGUUUUUAUUACCAAUAAGAUGGACACAUUAGAAAUCAGCUUUUACUAUGCGUUGAAGCACGCAUUUUGUUUGGGAAUCA